rnacentral:lncRNA from 1 species
UAAUUAAUUGUUUGUAUUUGUUUACUAAGAGUCUUAGUGCAUCAAAAACAUCUUCUGUUUUGCUUUAAAACACUGUGAAUAACUUUGGGAAUAAAAUAGAAAAUGUAGGCAUGAUUUGCUACUUUCCCAGAUUCAGCAACAACAAUUUGACGUGUUUUUAUUUCCCUUACAAGAACAUUCGCCAUCAAUGAAAUGGAUAGGCUGGGGAUAAAGUGAACAUAAGGGCAUUCUCUGUGAAGUAUUUGGUUAUGAUCAGACAUAAGCCAGUGGCCUCUUCUCUCUCUCUGCCCAGGUUUCAGAGAGGCAGGGCGUGCUCUUCUUGGUCUCUGUUUCCCUUCUAAUCAGGUGUUUCCACCUUGGUCUCCAGCUUCUAGUUAACCUUUACUUUCUAAUUUGGAACUUCUUUUUUAUGGCCCCCCACUUAUAUGGUAGAACAGUCAUCACAAAGAAUUUGAGCCAGACCUGAAGGAAGAGUAGAUUUUGAAAGAACAAAAUUUGGUGCUUAGGCCACAAGAAAUAGUGGGGAAAUGAAUAUUUGGGGAGCAAUGACUAGAUGAGUCAGUCUGGCAAAAUCAAAGGAUUCAAAUCAUUACCAGAGAUAAGUAAGGGAGCAGCUCAAGUUGCUCUUGGAUGCCACAGUCGGGAGCUUCUGUCUUGCUCUGUUCUCCAUGAAAAACAGAAGACUGAGUCAGAAGAAAAUGCAUCAGGCAUCUGUGGAGAGGAUGGAAUGGAAA